rnacentral:lncRNA from 1 species
AGUUAAUGGACAUUAAAAAUAGGAGGAAUUCUACACUGUCACACUUGCACCACGUCAUCAAUAACAAGUCAAUCACAUUUGUUCUUUUCAAAUAAAAGUACAAUAAAAAUACUUUUUUACAAUCAUGAUGGGACAUAUAUUCUUAAAAUGAUUAAUUUGAUUGGUUUGUUACACCACGUCACUAGUAUACCCGUUGCAUUCUAAAAUUUUUCUAAAAAUAGAAUUAAUUUUAUACAUGUCUCUACAAAUAUAGUGAAUUACAAAUAUAUUCCUACAAAAUUUAAUUUUUAUAUAUGGUAUAAUUGUAUAUAUACAUUUUAAAACUUUAGAAAUAUCUUAUUUACCCAUACUUUUUUUUUUUUCUUUCCAAUAUAUCCCUCAUAUGUUCCUCCGUUAUUCCAAAAUACUUCUGCAGUUACCACCCUUUAAGUUAAUUUGAGUUAAACGUGAAUUAAAUAUCUACUAGAGUUUAAAAAAAAAACUAAAAUACCUCUUUUAUUCUUAACAUAACGGUAAAUAAGAAAUAUUGGUUAUGGUAGAAAGGUAUACUUGAAAAGACAAAAAAUCAAAAUACUUUUUGUUCCCCUAUCUAAAGGGUAAAUAAGAAAAAUCGGUUAUGGCGAAAUAUUUGAAAGGGUAAAAUAGUAAUUUCAUACUGAUAACAGUUAUUGUUAACAGUUUAUUAACGGAAUUUAACUCUAGAGGUAUAUUUCAAAUAGUUGGAAUGUAAAAAGGGUAUUUUUAAUAUUAGCCUUCUAAAAAAGGUAAUAAGAAAGUCAUAAACUUUUCAGAAAUAUAUAAGCAAUUGCCCCUUUAUAUGUUGUCUCUGCAAAAAUCUUAAUGUUUUUAAAUAUAUUCUUAUGGUUUGUUACUGUUAAACAACUGUUUAUUUUAUAAGUGAAAUGACCUUUUUGCCGUCACAAAUAUGUCCCUCCAAAAAUCUUAACUAUUAAUUGGAAAGGGCUAAAAAUAUCAAUUCACCUCAUUAACUAAUUACGGUUAAGUAUUUUACAUAUGGUUAACUAAUAUUUUCUAACGGAUCGUAAUAGCACAUAUUAAUGUGAUUGAUGUGAUUUCUUGUUACUAGGGCAAUUUUCAUCUAAAUUAAUAAAAUUAAUUUUGAGUCUAAAAGGCAGAAAAUGUUUUUCAACAAAUAUCCACUUUUGCACUUUAUCUCUAUAUAUAUUUUUUUAAAUCUCUAUUUUGUUAUUUUAAAAUUUAAAAUUGUAUCACUUGAUUAUGCGCAUAAACUAUUUUGCAACUAUUAUAUAUACAAAUUAUGUAGUACAACCAAUUUACUAAGAUACUCAUUAUAUUUUUAAAACUAUAUAAGAAUGAGGAAUGCUAUUUGUACACUCCUAAUUCCUAAAUUAGGAGAAAGUUUCCUAUACGGCCGUCACACAAUGUCGCAUGUCUCUCAACUAAUCAAAUUUUUUUUAUUUAAGAAAAAAAUUCAAUAUUUUUUAAAAAAAUUAUGAUGGGCUGAGCGAACCCUAGGGGUCAAAUGUGAUUGAUUAGCGACACUAUAUCAUCUAUGACUAUCACAUUUUUUUAAUUUUUUUCUAUAUUAUGCAUACAUCUUAUAUCUCAUUCAUCUAAGAAAAUCUUUCUCCACUAAUCUUACCAAUUUUUUUUUAAAACUAAAACCGAUUUGAUUUUCUAUAAACUUUAUGAUGGAGUGGGUAUAAGAUUUACAUUUAUAUAUAGGUAUACAGAUAGCAUAUUCCUAUAAGAAUAUUUUUGUGUUUCUUAAAUUAGCUUAUUAUAUUGAGGUUUCCUACUAUUUACUAAUUAAAUUUUAGUUUUUCAUCAUUUUUUAAGAAUGAAGUUGUGUAUAUUACUAGUUAUCUAGUUGUAUCAUACUGUAUAUGAAACAGUAACAAUAUUGAUUUACCACCACAAUAUAAAUUUAAGAGGACAAAAUAUAAGUUUCUUUUAAAAAAAUAAUGAGGUAAAAUGUAAAAACACUCAUUUAUAAAAGAAAUAUUUUAUAGUUUAACCCUAAUAAAAAUUCUAUGGGACGGGAGACAAUGUGUACCAUUGCGUGAUUAACCCCUCAACAAAUUUCUAACCUUUUUCUAUUUCUUUUUUGACUAAAUUACAAAAAAAUUUUAUAAAUACUUGUUUUUUUUACUUUUUCUUUCUAUUUUUUAAAAAUCUAUAUUGUAUUCCCUCAACAUUUUAAGUUGUUGCAUUAAGCCUCCAUCCGUCAGGAUUUCAUCAUUCUUCUGUCUAUUUCUUAUUAUUUAUACUAAAAAUAAUUUUUAAAAUAACAAAAAUAUAUUAAAAAAUAUUUUUAAUAGAAGAAAUAAGAAUAAUUAGGACAUUUUUCUAUCUCGUUAAUAUCGUACCCACUUGAAACUAUUUCUAAAAUUUGUAAAAAAGCAAAAUAUAAAUUUUUUAAAAUAAAAAAGAAGUAAAAAAAAAAUAUUUUUAUGACAAUGUUUGGAUCGGGGAUAAUGGGAGAGAUAACCCCUUAUCCGUCCCUUUAUAUCCAAAAGCAAAUUUUUUAUCCGAGAAUAAUAGUUCUCGGAUACUUGAAAUAAUCUGGUAUAACUAUUCCACCAACACCUCUAUUUUUUAUAUAUAACUAUCCACUAUUUUACGUUAUUUUUUUUUAUCCCAGAAACAAUCUAAUUUUUAUCCAAACAUUAUUUUUUCUAUUUGUAUUUAUCACUGUAAUAAUUAGUUCUUACUUAUAUCCAAACCAAACGUUAUCUAUAUAUAUAUAUAUAUAUAUAUAUUUUUUAUAUUUUAUUUUUGUAAAAAAAAAAAAGGCCUUAUUCUUGAAUCGCUUUCGUUUGCAUUCUACUGUCAUUGUCCGAGCAUUUAAAACAGCAAACCUACUCCACAUGACCAACAUCGAUCAGAAUAAUUAAUUAAUGAAUGAAAAAGGAGGCUUUACGACGCAGCGAUUAUCAUUUAUUGCACCACCCAUGUACCGAAUCCCAGAUUUCAAUACCCCUCGUCCAAUCCAUUUCCGUGUACGGAUCCAUCCAUAUGCGACUUUUUUUUUGUGAGGGGUAAAGCGCUUUGGCCUUUGAGAAGAAGCCGCAGCACCGUUUAUUGCGGGUGAAAAUUGUACGCAGGCCCCUCAACGAUACGGCGUUAUGAAACAAGCCCCCUUCACUUUCUUUGUUCUCGCAAAUUUGUGUUUUCUUUUUUGGCUAAAUUACAGAAAAUCUUCCAUCAAAAUUUGAUUUUUUAUUUUUCCUUCAUGUCAUUUAAAAAUCUACCCUUUGUCCUCUUGUAAAAUAAAAAAUAUUCACAGGGAUACGGUGUGAACUGUGAUGAUAAAAUGACCAUUUUGGCCCUCAUCAUUUUGCCGCUCACUAUAUUUACAGAAAAGAAGGUUGAAGGCAUUUUUGGCAUAAAAAUAUAAAUAAUAAUAUUUUAUAAAUGGAAUACUAAUAGAUUAUUAACGGCAGGGGACAAAAUGAACAUUUUUCAUUUUACAAGGGGGCAAAGUGAUGGGACAAAAUAUAGGUUUUUAAAUCACAGGGAGAAAAAUGAAAAAUUAGGUUUUGACAGGAGGUUCUAUGUAAUUUAGCCUUUUUUUUAAAAAAAACUUCAAAUAUCACCCCUAUAGUUUCACACUUUUUCACUUUAGUAUUCUGUGGUUCAAAAUGUAUCAAUUUACUGUCCUGUGAUUUCAUUAAUUUUUAUCUUUUUAUUAUAGACUUCAUUAAUUUUUUUCGUUAAAUCAGUGACAAAAUUAAAAUUAAAGAGUACUAAAGUGAGUAUUCGAUAAGCCUAGGUAGAGUAUCUGAAGCAUUUUAUAUAUAAUUUAACGAAAUAUUAACGGAGAAGCUGACGAAAAGAUAAAAAUGAAACUACAGGACACUAACUCGAUACACGUUAAAUCACAGGAUACUAAAAUGAAAAAGUACGAAAUCACAGGGGUGGUAUCUAAAGAUUAAUAUGUUAUUCGUUUCGUUUAUUUUUUAAAAAAAUAAACUUAGGUAAAAAUAUGAAGCAAUUAGAUUUCGAAUUUAAAAUCUCGAAUACAAAUCAUCAAAUUUUUCACCACCUUUUUUUUUUUUUUUUUUUUUUCUGGUCGACACUUGGUAACGUCCAACUUCUUUUAUAUGAAUUUUUCUAGCUAGUUAAAUUAUUGUUUAAAUAUAUUAGCUCUAAUAGCUAUUAAUUGUUAAUUAUUUAGUUUAUAUUUUAUAAACACAAACUAAAAUAAAUUAUCAGAUUUGAUAGAAUUAUUUCUGAUUNUCGUAAUUAAAAAAAAAGGUAAUUGCAUACAACUUCCUAUAAAUAUAUCGAAUAGCAAAUACAUUCUUACACGGUUAAACUUUUUAUUUUCAUCCUUACAAAAAAAAAAAUUUGAUAGGGGUUUUGGCGUACUGGUAAAUAAAUUUAAAAUAAUUAAUAAUUAUUAGUUCGUAGAUUGGUUCAAUUUAAUUAAAUUUUUUCGAAUAAUAAAUAUUAAAUGUUCGCCCUCGCUGUUUGAGAAAGUGGUGGACAUUUGACGAAAUAAAUACGUCAUUAGAUGGUGUGAAUAUUAAAGUAAAAAAUUAAGAAACUUAUCUGAAAUAUAAAUUAUUUUGAUUCCGUUGCUCAAUCUUUUAAAGUUUUUAAUUUUACUAUUCAAUUUUUCUAUUUAUUUGAAUUAAGUGAAUCGAUAAUAUUUUAACUUUAAAAAUUUAAACUAAUUAUUUAUUUUAAUAAAAUUAUAAUUGUACAAAGUUGAUGGCUUAAAUCAAAUAAAUUAAAACGAAAUGCUGAUGGUAUACCCUUCUGAGGGUGUAGGAUAUACACCACACCCAUCAAGUAACUAGUGGACAAUAUUUCACUCUUGAAUGGGUGGGAUGUAUCUUGUACGCUCCUACUGGGGUGUACAAGAAAUAUUUUUUAUAAAUUAAAGAGUAACUUCAAAUACAACUUCUGUGGUUUCGCACUUUCUUGCUUUAUUAUCUUAUGGUUUAAAAUGCAUCACUUUAAUAUCAUGGGGUUUUAUUUUUCUCUUUCAGUCAGCAUCUCCGUUAACUCUUUGUUAAAUUAUAUAAAAAAAACUUCAGAUACCCCACUUAUGAUUUAUUGAAUAUUCACUUCAGUGUCAUGUGGUUAUCGAAUUUUCAGUUUAGUACUCUGUGGUUUUAACUUUGUUACUGAUUUAACGAAAAAAGUUAACGGAGGAAAUAACGGAAAGAGAAAAAUGAAAUCAGGGGAUUACUAAAGUGAUACAUUUUAAAUCAUAGGGCACUAAAGUGAGUAAGCGCGAAACUAUAGAGGUGGUAUUUAAAAUUUUUUCUAAAUUAAAAAAUUAAAUAAUAAAAUUAAAAUUUUGAAAGAUUAGACAUGAAUAAGAUAAGUCCGGUACAUUUUUUUCCUAUAAAAAAAAGAUUAAUUUCAUAUAUGUUCCUGCAAAUAUAGUGAAUAACAAAUAUAUUUCUACAAAGUUCAUCUUUCAUAUAUUGUCUUUUCAAAAGUCCCGUUGUUUUCAAAUAUGUUCAUGCCGUUAGAAUUCGUUAGAAAAAAUUAGUUAACCAUAUGUUAAAUACUUAACCCUAAUUAUUUUUGAUAUUUUUACUCCUUUAUAUUAUACUAGUAUGGCUUUUGGAGGGAUGUAUUUGUGGUGACAAAAUUGAAAAUAUAAACGGUUCUCUAAUGGUAACAAACCAGAAGAAUAUAUUUGAAAAUAUUAGAAUUUUUGCAGGGACAACAUAUGAAAGUUGAACUUUGUAGGGAUAUAUUUGUCAUUUACUAUAUUUGCAGGGACAUGUAUGAAAUUAACCCAAAAAACAAGAACUAUUUACUUGUCCAGCCUCUUUACAAAAAAAAAUUCUCUAUCUAGUCUCCUUUUGAAAAUAUUCCCAAUCUAGCCUCAUUUUUAUAUUUUUUUUAAAAAAAGAUAAGUUAAUAAUUUUUAUAUAGAUUAAUAUGUUAAGUGGGUGGAGAUUAUUUUUUUUCUCUCUCCUUUUAAAUUAAGUGAAUGUAAUGUGAUUUUAUAUAUGAACACUUUUAAAUUAUAUUGACUUGUAUAAUCAAAUUAAGUACUAGUAGUACUAAUUAAAAAUUAUAAUUUAGAAAUAUUAUUAUUAAUAAAUAAAUUUUUUAUUAAGUAUUCAUAUAUAAAAUCACAUUAUAUUCACUUAAUUUUAAAGGAGAGAGAAGAAAGAUAAUCUCCACCCCCUUAACAUAUUAAUCUAUAUAAAAAUUAUUAAUUUAUCAUUUUUUUCUUAAUCUAUAAAAAUGAGGCUAGAUUGGGAAUAUUUUUCAAAAGGAGGCUAGAUAGGAAUUUUUUUUUUGCUAAAUUACAUAAAACCCCUUGUCAAAAUUCGAUUUUUCACUUUCUCCACUCGUCAUUUAAAAACCUACAAUUUGCCCUCUUGUAAAAUAAAAAAUGUUCACUUCGACCCCUACAGUUAGUAAUCAGUUAGGAUUCCGUUUAUAAAAUAUUAUUAUAUAUUUUUUUAUGCAAAAAAUGUCCGCAGCCUUCUCUUCUGUAAACAUGGUGAUGGGCAAAAUGAUGAGAGGGAAAAUGGUCAUUUUAUCAUUACAGUUCACACCGUACUCCUGUGAAUAUUUUUUAUUUUAUAAAGGGGCAAAAUAUAGGUUUUUAAAUGACAGGGAGGAAAAUUAAAAAAUUGAGUUUUGACAGGAGAAUUUUCUGUAAUUUAGCUUCUUUUUUAUUAUUAUUAUUAUUAUUAUUAUUAUUAUUAUUUUAAAGAGGCUUGACAAGUAAAUGAAUCAAAAAAACAAUAGGAGGGGCAUAAUCUAUACCACUUGUAAGUAAGGGGUAUCCAUACAAUUUUUACCUGAUAAUAUCUCAUCCUCUCUCCGACCGAAGAAAAUUCCUCCAAUCGCUUGACGUGACACUUCAAUAAGCUAGUCCGCCUGACAUGUACACCGAAAUCGGGUGGGGUCAACCAACCCGAACCCUACCACCCACACAGAAUUCUCUUCCUACGCCUGGUGCAUCCGUACAUUUCAUGCACCGCAUUCUCAAAACAGUCCCUCAAAAUAUUAUAAACUAUUCAUUCACAAAACAUUAUUAUUCGACAGUAAAGAAAUUGUAUUUGCUAUUCGCUUUUUAAUCCUUAAUAAAUUCAUAAUUAGGAGAUAGGAAAUACUAUUUCUCUACUAUUAAUAGCAUUUUAAUUUUUUUCCUAGUUAAAUAACCUAAAUCUUAAAAAAUAAUAAGUUUUAAAAGUCUAUUUUCUUAUAAAUUUGACAUUCUCCUUGAACUAAUUUUCGGAAUUGCUGACAUUUUUAAUUCCUUAACAGUUGAGUAACAGAUUUUAAUAAUUUAUAGUAUAUUCGCAUGUAAAUUUCUUAGUAUCCUUCAAACUCUAAGAUAUAGGAUCCUCUCAUUAUUCUUUCGAUAUUGUAAGUUAUAUUGGAUCAUAUUCGAAUUUAAUGAAAUUAAUAAUCAAUCAAAUAUUGCCACUGGUGCAUGAGACGCCAAUGCACGAGGUGCAGGCAACAAAUUUCACACCACCCCCACCUCCUCCCCCAUUGUGGGCCCCGCACACUCCUUCGCGCAAGCCCAACCACGUGACCAGUGACCACACUCAUUCUACAAACUUCCAAAUUCGACCCGUUUCGACACCUUUUUAACUCCGAUGAGAUGAGGUGUGCCACACACCCUCCACAUGCUUAAUAAAACGCCUCCAACCUCUCCAGCAAUAUAUAACCCCGUUAGUAUUACCAACAUAGUAACAACGAUGAACAAUAUUCCGGACUAACAUCCAACUGCUCUAAAUAGUGAUGAAAUAAUUAAUAAAAGCCUUUAUCAUUAACUCAUUUAAGAGAUGGAGAGAGUUCUAGACAGAGAGGGGGUGGGAGAGUACUAGAAAGCCAGCUCAGCAAUUUCUUGCACCAUGACAAAGGACAGAGUAGGGAAAACGAAAUGGCAAUGGGCUUGUCCGCGCCAAAAGCUACAGAGUAGGGGGUACGGCUUUUUGUAAGAGCGAAAAGGACCACUCAGUAGCGCAAAAAGAAACCCAUUGGCGACUAAGGAAAAGCACUUCUUAGGAGUAGCCCCAGCAUGCAUUAAUUAUAGCUGCUCCCGAACCCAUCUAUAUAUCUACUUCAUCAGUAGGCCAAACAUCAGCUUCUUCACAGCUCGCNGGGGGGGGGGGAACGAAGAAAAAAGGAAAAAGUGGGUAGUGAUCAUGAUAUGUGAAUUUUUAAGUGUCAAAGAUUUUAGAACUAAAUCUGCCUAACUACACGGUGAAAUGCAAAAACAAAAUGAUAGUGAGACGUAAAUGCAGUAAAUAUUAUAAGAGUUCGACUCAGAGGAUCGUGAACGGCGCACUCGACUUGAAUGGAUUUGCCAAAUGAUCCUCAAUAUUCUGGCUCUCAAAUUAGGGCGGCAGUAGUUAGUUCGGAUUUUGAUGAGAUCUUCUUAUUCUGCUGUUAGUGCGCCUUUCGCGUGAGCCAAGAACUCCCACAUUGUGUCGGCUAGCGGGGCGGAUUGGCGGUUUGGAUCGGGCGCCACGCCGAGGCGGUGAGGAGGCAAAGGUCCUUCCACCCGAGCUUGAGCGCGCCGUUCUCCUCGACGAGCGUGUAUCCGUCGGAGGGGAACAUGCCGAGGAGGAGCGUGGCCUGGGCGGCGGCAUUGCCCGCGAGGGAGACCGAGCGGAAUCCCGACUGGGCCAGCUUCUCGCGCCAGUUGCCGAACUUGACAUCCCCGGACCGCGCCGGGCCGCCCACGGCGAGCACGUUGCGGAUCUCGCGCGACAGCAGCUGCUGCUCGACGACGUGCCGCUCGGGGCUGUCCUCGCCGUAGCUGGCGCCGAGCGAGUCGAACAGCGCCGAGUAGUAGUGGAUCGCCUCGACGAACCGCGCCAGGAACGAGCCCCCCGGGCUCAGAUCCUGCUCCACCAUCGUCACCACCUUCGGCGCCAAACUACAUCAACCAACCAAACAAACAAACAAACAAACAACAAAUUUUCAAACUAGUUUUCUUUUUUUUUUUUUAACCCUAAUAAAAUUUCGAAUCUCAUGUAAUGCGUGUAACACGUGAAAAAAGAAUGGAUAAAAAUCUUAUCAAAAGUCGUACUACUCUUCUAAUACAGUACGCCAAUCCGUCUAUUAAAUCCCCCCCUCCUAAUCAUGGCAACUAAAGAACACUGAGAUUAUGGAAAAAAAGGGCAAUGGCUUCAAAAGUUAGUCAUAAUGACUACUUUUAGCUUUACUUGUGUAAUCUAUAAAGUAUUUUAAUAAAAGUUCUUUCUAGCUCCACAUUUUCAAGAGACAAAAAGUGCUUAACACCACACCAUAAUAAUAGUAAUAAUGCAAGAUGAAAAAAAAACAAGAAGAAGAAGAAUAUAUGUAUAUAUAUGGUUGGAGAUUGGGCAAACACAAGCGAUUGAUUGAGAUCACUUCCGUCUUCGUGCUAGAGCACAAGAUCGGCACAGAAACCAGUCAGAAAUAUGAUGCGCCCGUACUGUUUCCAAGUUCUAUAUAUAUAUAUAUAUAUAUAUAUAUAUAUCCUCUCCUCCCCCCUCUCACCUUCUUUCUUUUCGUUUUUUUUUUAAAAAAAAAAAAAAAGAAGAAGAAGAAAGGUUUGAUUAAUUAAUAUUAGAAAGUUCCUUUGUGUUAAUAAUUAGUACGUAGUAGUGAUUGAUUGAUUAAUUAACAAUCUGAACGAUGUAUAUAUCUUGUUUGAUUGAAAUGCAAAAAGAGGUAAUUAAUGGGAAUGGAGAUCAUGAAAGAAGAGGGUAAUGUAAUGUACCGCUGGAGGAGCCAGAGGGUGUUGGUGUCGGAGCCGGUGACGUCGUAGAGGGAGUGGUGGAGCCAGUGGACGGCGAGGGCCUCGCGGCGGGAGACGCCGAGGCGGUCGGGGUCGAGGUUGCCGACCUUGUCGGCGACGGGGUGGAACUCGAAGGGGAGGCCGAGGGUGUCGGCGAAGUCGGAGAGGCGCUUGCCGGUGGCCUCGAGGGCGUCGAGGGAGGCGCCGAGGCCGGUCAGGCGGACGCGCGGGGGCCCGCCGGGGCGGGAGGCGAGGAUGUGGAAGAGGCCCGGCCACUGCAGGCCCUGCAUGAUGUCCAGGUCGAUGAUGUGCACGCGCUCCUCGCGGUCGAACGCCUCCUGGAUCGCCUGGUUCGCCGUGAAGUGCGAGAACUUCACGAACGGGCUGAUGCCGUUGAACACCUGGAAGGCCGCCGCCAGCCGGUGGUGGACCCGGAGGGCCGCCGGGGACGACGCCGGCAGCGGGGCGUAAAGCCCCAGGCAGGAGCUGACCAGCCGGGCCGACAUGGCCUCCGAGAAGUAGGCCGCCACGCGCUGGGCCGAGCUGCCGAACGGGGUCGCCAGCUCCGAGAUCUCCAGCAGCAGCCGGUUCGCCUCGUCCAGGUUGUCCGCCGCCACCGACUCCGCGCACUGCAGCAGCAGCGUCAGCAGCUGCAGCCCCUCCUCGUCGCGCUUCUGCUGCCGCAGCUCCUCCUUGCGCGCCCUCGUCGGAGGUGGAGCUGCGCUGGGGCUGGGGGUCGGAGGAGCAGGAGGGUUGGGGGUUGGGGAGGCGAUGAUGAUGAUGAUGAUGAUGAUGAGGGGGAGGAGGAGGAGGAUACGCGGGCUCCUCCGGCCAGUUGGGCGGCUGCUGCUGCUGCUGUUGUUGGCUUUGUGGCGACUUGGGAAGAGGCGGGGCCGGUGGGGGCUGGGGCGGGGGAGGGGCGAGCUCGCGGCGGCGAGCUUGUCAGGCUGGGCGCGUCGGAGGGGAGGGAGGGGAGCGGCGGCGGCGGCGGCGGAGGAGGAGGGAGAGGGUCGGAGGAGGCGAGGGAGCGGAGGCGGUGCUCGAGGACGGCGGCGAGGGCGGGGUUGCAGGGGUGGAUGACCUCGCGGACGUUGUGGAUCAGCUGCGGGAUCGACACCGCGGGCGCCGCGCUGCUCAGGAGGUCGCGGAUGAUCCCGUCCACCCACGCCGACGCCGCGCCCUCGUCCGCGCCGCCGCGGCCCGCCACCCCCUCGUUCGCCGCCGCCGCACCCCCCCCGCCGCCCCGCUCGAGCUCCGCCGGGAACAGCGGCAGCCCCGAGAACCCGCACACCGCCGGCGCCGGCGGGGGGAGAGACGGAAGGAACUGCGUCGGGUUGCCCCCGUGCUGCACCAAAAUCGGGGCGUCCAGAGCGCCGCCGCCGCUCGAAGCCGAAUACAGAAGCGAGGAGGGGUGCCCCGCCGCCGCGCUCUCCGCGAACGGCCCCUGCGCCGCGGCCGUGGACGAGGAAGCCCCGCCACCCGCCGCCGCAGCACCGCCUCCGCCGCCGCGACGAGGGAGUCUGGGGUUGUGGUAAGAAGAUGAGGAGGACUCGUGCUGUAGAUCGAGCUCCGAGGCGGGGCGCUUCCUCACCAUGAUCACCUCGCCCACCUGCUGCUGCUGCUGCUGCUGCUGCUGCUGUUGUUGCUGCUGCUGGAGAUAGAGGAGAUAAAGAAGCUCCUUUUCCUCUUCAGAGUAGUGCGAGAAGUGAGAAUCAUGAGAAGACGACGUCGUGUUUGUGGUUGUGGUUGUGGUUGUGGUCGGGGGCAGGAGCAGUAAAGAGGAGGAACCCAUCAGAAAAAACAAAGGGAAAGGGCUCGGCGCAUGCUAGUGCAGUAGAAGAAACGGUGAGGUGGUAGUAGCAGUAGUAGUAGUAUGAGGAUGAGGAAGAGGAGGAGGAGGAGGAGGAGAGUAAAGAGGAAGAGGCCGAGGAGCAGAAGCCGCGCAGAGAACAACAACAACAACAAUAACACGGGAAUAAGCACGAGACCAAUAGUAAUACUAAUAAUAAUAAUAUUAUUAUUAUUAUUGUUACUAUUGUUAACAGAGGGGGAGGGGGAUAUAUAUUGCUUAUAAAGCGGGUGCGCAUUGGGGUACGCAUAAGGGGUCGGGGACGGCUCCAAGCGAAAAACGGCGGGGCGAUUCGGACAUGGGGGUGAGGGGUUGUUGUUCGGGCCUGGAUUCGACGCUAAUAAGAAAGAACAACCUGUUGCAGCGUUUCCUAUUUCUCUCUCUCUCUCUCUCUACCACUGUAAUUUUUUCCUUUUUUCUUUUUUUUUUUUGUUUCCCCCCUAUCUCUCUCUCUCUCUUACCUAGAGGAGAGAGGAGAGAGGAGAGAGGAGAGAGAGAGAGAGAGCCGUUGCCGUUGUCGCGCUCGGCGCUCGCGCGUCGCUCGGGGCGCGUCGGGAGACGACGCGAAACCCCAGGCGAGGGAGGUGAGAGGGGUGGGAAAAAUCGGGUUGGCUUUUUUUCUUUUUUUUUUUUUUUUCUUCUCCGCCGUGCGAUUUGUGCGGUGGGAUUAAUGAAAAGGUCGGAUUAAACAACGAGCAUCCAAAAUGCAUGCAGACCCUUCUACUUCAUCUUAUUUCGAUUGACACCACCAAAGAUCUUCUUGGAAUGUGCGAACAUGCCGCUUCCUAGUUAAAAAAAGGCAAAAAGAAAUUCAAGAAUUUUUAAAUUUUAUUUUAAAUUUUUAGUAUUGAAAGAUUUAAUAAAAUUAGUGAAUAAAUAUGUGUCCUUGGAAAACUGCAGAGUGUACCUCAUUUUAUCAUCCUAUAGUUAGAAAAAAAAAAAACAAUGCUUUAUUCUCUUUUGAUUUUUAUUUUUGUCUAAUCAUAAGAAUUCGAUCUUUAAUAGAAUAACAAACUGAUAUAAUUAUAAACCACAAAAUAGUAAGAUACAAUAUUUGUAUAAAUCACUAAAAAAAGUAAAAUAUAGCAUUUCACUAGCCUCUAAUUUUCUGAUAAAUUAAUGAUAAAAUUAUAGAUAAUAAAAUAAUAUUUUUUAAACUGUAGGAUGAUAAGUUUGGGGGCCUAUUUUAAAACAUUAUUAUAUAGUAUUUUUUAUCUUAAACUAAAUUAGUAAAGAGGGUAGGCUUUUUCAUUUGACUUGGAAAGGUUGUUUAGGUCUUAGUUGGGAUGUGGGGGUUAUGGGAAAGGGUGUGAUAAACAAAUUUAGUUCUUGAUUGUGGGGUACUGUGUAAAAGUGUUACAAAGGGAGAAAAAAGGUGUGUUGGACUUUGGUCCUAUUUCUCUCUCUCUCUCUCUCUCUCUCUCUCCUGAAACAAUUAGAAAAGGUUUUUUUUUUUGUAAAGAGAAAUCUUAGAUAGUGGAGCUUUUUGAGAUGUUGAGUAUAACUGCUGUUUCCAAUUAUCAUUGCAUUUGGUUGGGUGAGCUUUGACUUUGAAACUUUUUUUCUGGGGUUUGAGUUUGAAAUUAUUACAUAUAUUUUUUGUUUUAAACUUUGUUUGAAGUUUAUGUAAAAAUUUACAAGUUAUUGUUUAAAAUAAAUCUUCUUCAUGAAAUAGAGAAAUUAAAAUUUGUGAGUAGCUCUUAUUUUUGUAUGGAUAUUUGAAGCUUUAUCUGAAAUCAUAACUAAAUAUAAUGCUUUUAACCGAAUAUAAAAGAGAAUGGUGUUGGUGAUGGGGUUGUAGAAAGUGAUAUAUGCGCCGAUACCAAUCGAUUGUAUUACGUAGGAUUUAGAUUGCAUGUUUAGAGAUAAAAUAAGUUAGGAGAACUAAACAAAUUAUAUUUUGUUAAUUAAACCAUUUAAUACAUUCGACUACUCUAUACAUCCUUGGCUUUUAGAGGAGGCCUUAUGUAUGUAAGCUUUUUCUAACUCUCUCCUUUACGAAUUCCUUGUGUUCAUAUUAAGAUUGAUUUUAGAUCAUUUUUUAUCGAUCGAUCUUUUGGAUAAUAUAAUUUUAGAGCAAUGUUUCAAUACACUAUGGGCGUGUUUGGUUCGCUUAUUUUUCACCAUAGAAUCGAAAUCGGAAUGGGUGAAUUCGUUUGUAGGUGUUUGGUACGUGGGAGUCUCAUUCCGAUUCCGAUUCCCGAGUGGAAUGGGAAUCCCCCAAUCACCUCAUUUUUCAAUCCGACCUAGGAGACCGGAUUAGAAGUUGAAUCAGGACGGAAUGGAUAUUUAUUCGGAUUAAAUUUAUUUUUUCUACUUUUUAAUUACAAUAUGAGUUUAAACUUAGAAAUUAAAUUUUAAAUUUUAAAUUUUAAUUUGAACUUGAAUUAAAAAUUAAAAUUUAAUCAAGUAUUUUGAAUCUAACUUAUGAAUUUGAAUUUAAAUUAAAUUUUAAUUUAUAUAAAAUUUUAUUCAAAUUUUAUUUAAAACUUAAAUUAAAUUUAUGGAUUCAAAUUAAAAUUUAAAUUGUAAUUUUAAGUUUGAAUUUGAAUAAAUCAAAAUUUAGUUUUAUAUUUUGAAUUAUUUACUCAACUUCAAAGUUUAAUUUUUUUAAAGAAAUAGAUUUAAAAUUUUGAUAUUAUUUCAAAAUUUUGAUGUAAAUAUUUAAUAUUUAAAUUUUAAUUUGAAUUUAAAUUAAUAUAUUAUAAAGAUAAAGUUAGCAUAUUAAUCCGAUUACGUUUUUUAUAUUUACCUAAACCAAACACCAACAAUGGGAAUGAUUUAUUCCGAUUCCGAUUCAGGUGAUGAACCAAACAGAGUUAAGUAAUAAGUCAUUCCGAUUCCGAUUCCGAUUCCAGCUUAUUUCGAUUUCGAUUCCGAUUUCGAUUCCGACUUCGAACCAAACAUGCCCUUAAGUAUUAAAAUCAAACUCUUAAUUAGUAAAGGGUAUAGUUGGAUUUUACAUAAGGUAACCUAUUGAAUAGGUUACCGAUUUGAAUUAGUUAAUAUGACAAUAUUGGAAAAAAAUUAGUAGUAUAUACAAAUUUGUUAGUAUCCUAUAAUAUUAAGUAUCUUUUUUAGUUUUGUUACUUACCAAAUUAGAUAAUACUCAAUUUGUUAUUCAACUCAAAAAAAUAUUGAAUUUAAAUUUAAGUUUUGAAGUUGGUAUUGUAAUGUAAAAUUUUAAUUUCAAAAUUUAUAUUAAAUUUUUAAAUUUUGAAUCUACAUUGCACUUUUAAUCUGUAAGCCAAAUUUUAAUUUUUGAUUUAAAUUAAAAUUUUGAAUUUGAACUGAAAGUUUUAUUUUAAAUUUGUGUUUUAUAUUUAAAAGUUGAAUUUGAUUUAUAAUUAAGUUUUUUAUGUUGUUUUGUAUUUAAAUUUACAGUUUAGUUGUAAUUUGAAUUCCAACUAUUGUUGUAGGUAUUUGAAAAGGUUAUAGUAUUCUUAGUUGGAUAAAACCUAUCUUGUAGGCCAAAAUAUUUUUCUAAGACCAAAAUACCCUUUAAAUAGGUAUCUGGUGAAUGGUACUUAUGCCAAAAUAGUAGGUCGCCUUGAUUUACAUGGUGUAUUGAGGUAUUAUUCUUUUUUUUUUUUUUUUGAGAGAAAGGUAGCAUGUUACCCGCUUCGUUUUUUCAUUUAUAAAUAAACUUGGCUGAAAAUGUGAAUCAAUUAGGAUUCGAACUUGGGUCUCGGGUACCAACCACCAAGCCCUUUUGCCACUUGCGCUAGGGACAGUCGGUUAUUACUCAUAAUAUUAAAGCAGAUGCAAAGUUUCUCCUAUUUGAAAAUGGCAUAUAUACGUUGAGUAGGGUUAUUGUGCUAUUAGAAGCACAUAAGUCCUUGUGCUCUUAAUUUUCUAAUUAUUCAUUAAUUUUGAUGGAUGGUUAAAGAUGAGAGAGAAAAGAAAUUGAAAAAAAAAAUUAAAAAGAAGAGAAAUUGAGACACUCAAAUUCUUCUUAAUUUUUUUUCUCUCUUUCACCUUAACCAUUCGUCAAUUUAGAACGUUAGCAGCAUAAGGUCUCUAAUGAUUAUCGUUAUUGCUCUACGCACAAAAAAUUCAUAUUCUUUUUUUUAAAAUGAACGAUGCGAUCGCGGUGUGCAAAGAUUUCUUGUGCGAGGGAUUACUAUGCAAUUGAAUUCCUCCUAAAGUCCCCUCCAUUCGAAGAGCUCUUGUGUUGUUUUAUGACGUCUUCGUGUCUAUUAUAUUCUGUUGUUAUACAGAAUAGGAGUGUUAACACUAAUACUAAUUCUAAAUUAUUUUCUAUUAGAUCGAUCUUUUGAGUGAUAAUUCGCAAGAGCCAUCAAAUUUGAUUGCGCAGCACCACUUUAGAGGGAAAUCCAAGCGUCAACUCAACGGAUUGGAUAAGAAAUAAGCAGGAUAAGAUUCUGAUCUUUUAUUUCUCAUGCAUGUAACCAUUAACAAGAGGCAUACAUGAAACUUCAUGAGGUUUCGACUACUGCCCUGCUAAAUAGCAUUCUUGAUAAUAAUCAACUACUCUAAAAUACCAGUAAUUAGUUUUUUUUUAAUUUUAAAUUCAAAUUCACAUUUGGAAUUCUAAAUUCUAAUUUAAUUUCAAACUUCGAUUUGAAAUUUCAAAUUCAAAAUGUGAUUUUGAAUUCAAAGUUUAAAUUCAAAUUUAGAAUUGAAAUCAAAUCUUUAAAUUCAAAUUUAAAUUUUGAAUUCAAAUUUAAAAUUUAAAAUCAAAAUUUUGAAUAUGAUUUUAAAUUUAAAUUCAGGUUUUAAAUUUAAACUUCGGUUUCAAAACUUUCAUUUUAAAUGUAAAUUGAAAUAUCAGAAUCAAAAUCAAAAUUUUAAGUUUGAAUUCAAAAUUUAGAUUCAACUAAAAAUUUAAAUUUAAAAUUUGAAUUUCAAUUCAAAGUUUUAAUUAGACUUAAAAUUCAAAUUCAAAAUUCUAAUUUCUGGUUAGUUUAAAUUUUUAAUUUUAAUAUUAUUUCUGAAUUUAAAUUUAAAAUUUAGAAUUUUUAUUUUUAGGGACUAAAAUGAAAAAUGUGCAAAGUUUAGGGACCUAAAUUGAAAUGCAAAAGGUUGCCAAAUAGACGCUGACGUGGCAAUUCCGUAAAUUUUAACAGUUUUAUUAACGGUUGGGACGCAAUUGUAGUAAAAUCAAGAGGUUAGGGACUCCAUUGCAAAAAAAAAAAAAAAAAAGAUUGGAAACUUAAGUGAAAAUUGGUGCGAAGGUUGGGGGACUACCGGUGUAGUUAACCCUUAUUAUUCCAAUAGAAAAAAAUACUUCUAGAAGUAUUUUUGAGCCUAACUCGGCAUUUCCAUUUACAUAUACAUGGUCUCAUUAAUAAGAGUCCAAAUAAAUCACAUGAAAACGAUACUUUUGGGAGCGACAAGCUGGAGCAGCACUAAAGUCGGCAACGACGUUGAUACUCGUUGUGUGGAAGUCGUCACCUAAUUCGCUACUCCACGUAGAAAAAGCCAUGGAUGGCAGCUAUUUUUCUCCAAACAACUACCAGACGGUCACAGCAUCUGCGGCCCACGGAAUGUCUUCCGCUUUGACGGAUCAUAAAUAUACCCACCAAACAUUAAUUAAUUAGAAUUAGGUUGGAAUACUAUUAAUAGUAAAACGCUCUUUUUGCUAUCAAGUUUUUAACCCUUAGAUGAAACAUUGUAGGGUCAGUAUGAUAUUAGUCGGUUAGAGUUGAGUGGUCCCCCUAGGGUUGAGUGGUUCCCACUGGGUUAUAGUAUUUAAUCCGAUGGUUAGAAAUAAUGAAAAGAGUUGAUCCAAAGACUAAAAAACUGGUAGCAACAAUGAAAUUUUGCUACUAAUAGUUGCCCAGUCCAACUCUAAUUAAUAGAUGGCGUGGCAUGGGAAAGCUCCUUGUCUUUUACCCAUGCACGUGAGUGGCAACGUGGUCCCCCACUUCCCCCCCACAAAAAAAAAAAAAAAAAAAAAAAAAAAAAAAAAAAAAAAAAAAAAAAAAAAAAAAAAAAAAAAAAAAAAAAAAGAAGAAAAUGAUGAUGAUUCAUAAGAUUUGCUUUUUUUUCUUUUUUUUUUUGGGCUUUUUUUUUUUUUUGAGAAAAGAAAUAGUGAAUUGUAAGCGAGUUAGUUGAUCAUUAGAACAAAAUCUAAUAUAUUCUUUGAAAUUAUAAGAAUAUCUAAUAUAUAUUUUAAGUUGAUCAAAAUAUUUUUAUUAAUUUAUUAAAAAUUUCAUAAAAUAUUUCUAAUUUUUAGGAUUUACUAAUAGAAAUUAGGAUUUAUAAGGAUAUGUUUAGUAAUUUUAGGAUAAAUUUGAAAAUUUUGAAUAGUCAGGAAUAAGUAAGCAAAAAGUCCUAACCCUUUUAUUUAUUUAUUUAUUUAUAGAUAGGCGCAUAAAGUCUUAAAAUUUUAUAUUUUUUAAUUAAUUAUUUAAAAUUUGGAACCGAUCAUUAAUUAGGGCCUGUUGGGUAUUGUCCCCUUUUUUUGAAUGUUUUAAAACGCUAAUUCUAUAUAAUUUAAUAUGUCGAAGGAAAGAUGUUCAUUAUUAUUAUUAUUAUUAAUAUUAUAAUAGUUUAUUAGCUUAUAAUAUAUCCGACUAAUUGAUAAACAAUAAAUUAUUUUAAGGCUUAGUUUGGUAUUGAGAUUUAUCUAACGCUAUUAGAUAAAAUGGAGUUGAGGAAAAAGCAUAUAGGGAUAUGCUUCUGCGUUCUUCGAUGGGACCGCAGAAAAUAUAUUAUAACCGACUCAUCGCGAUAUGCGGAAUGCAAUAUUACGAAACAAACAGAGUAUUUUUCCAUCGUCGUUUCUCAACGUAACGCAAUCUCCCUACAAUCCCAAACGAAAUCUAAAUAGUUUUGGAACCAAUUUUUUUUAAAAGUUUUUAUUUUUUAUUGCCAGGUAAAUUAUUGUUCAUUCUUUCAUGUUUUGAUAUAUAAAAUUUUAUUUAAAAAAAUAAAAAUAAACACGAUACCAAUAAGGUCUUAGUUUUAUAUUUUAAUAAUAUAAAGUAACUAAUAUCAAUCAAAUGAUCCAGAAAUAAUAAAUAACACAUGUAAUAUAGCAGGAUUCCUUUGAUGAUAAAAUUCCAUCUUACAGUACUAUAAAAAUUUAUUUUUAGCAUUUAAUUUUCAUAAAUUAAAUAUAAUAGUUAUGGCCAAUAAAGUAGUUUUAGAUAUAAAAAAAAGACUCAUCUAUUUAGCAGCCAUACAUUCUUUAUUAUUUUUUUUGACCAAGUAAGUACUAUUUAUUACUUUAAAAAUAAAUCAAUGUGGUUAAUUUGAAAAUUUGGAUUGUAAAUAUAACAUUUUGAAAGUAGCUAGACUUUUGGCGCAUUUAAUCCAUGCAUUAAGCUAACCAUGUUAUAUGUAGGCCUAAUACAUCAUCUAAUACUGUAGUUUUUUUUUUUUUUGGGCUUAAUUAUAUCCCACUAUUUGUACUUUAGAGUUAUUUUUUAUUUCCUACAUUAUACAAUUUUUUUAAAAAAAUUAUACCAUUCUAUUACUAUAUUUUAUUAAUCUCAAAAAUGUAUUGCCUAUUUGAUUCAUCCAUAUGUCUUGGAAUUUUCAUUAGCUCUUCAUCCAACCAGUAGUUAUAUAUAUAUAUAUAUAUAUAGAGAGAGAGAGAGUUUUGCUAGAAUACUAUCGGUAGUAAACGGCUCGGUUUACUACCGAUUUGUUUUCGAUGAUAGAGCUUUCAAAUUGAUGAUCGACACCGUUAAAUAUGAUCUAAACUAUUUAAACUAUCGGGAAAUCAAAUUUCACACAUUUUCGAUAUUGUUCUCUUGUCCAUCAAGUGAACAGAAAAAUGAAUGGCUGGAAAUGAAUAUCUUUUAAAAAGUUAUGAUACAAUUUUUAUAUUUGAGAUCUAGAGUCUAGAUCUUAUUUUAAAUAGUUUAAAGAAUUUUUUAACAAAAAUUUAGUUGAUUUGAACUCUUCUAUACAGUUAAACAAGCAAACGCACCAUAUCGGCCAUUAAAAUUGUAUAUUUUGUGACCCAUUGAUCGUUCAAUUAGUGAUGCCAAAAAUUCAUGUGACCCUUUGAUCGUUCAAUUAGUGAUGCCAAAAAUUCAUGAAGUUUGAUUUCUAGAUAAUUUAAAUGGUCUAGAUCAUGUUCAACAGUGCCGAUCGUCGAUUUGGAAGCUCUAUCAUCAAAAAUAAAUCGGUAGUAAACCGAGCAGUUUACUACCGAUAGUAGCCCGGUCAAACUAUAUAUAUAUAUAUAUAUAUAUAUAUAUAUAUAGAGAGAGAGAGAGAGAGAGAGAGAGAGAGAGAGAGAGAGAGAGUUGGACUGGGCUACUAUUAGUAGCAAAAUCCCAUUGUUGCUACCAGUUUUUUAACCUUUGGAUCAACUCUUUUCAUUAUUUCUAGCCAUUGGAUUAAAUACUAUAACCCAGUGGAGACCACUCAACCCUAGGGGGACCACUCAACUCUAACCGACUAAUAUCAUCCUGACCCUACAAUUUUUCAUCCAAGGGUAAAAACUUGAUAGCAAAAAGAUCAUUUUUACUAUUAAUAGUAUUCCAGUCUAAUUCUAUAUAUGAGUUGGACUGGGUUACUAUUAGUAGCAAAAUCCCAUUGUUGCUAUCAGUUUUUUAGCCUUUGGAUCAACUCUUUUCAUUAUUUCUAACCAUUGGAUUAAAUACUAUAACCCAGUGGGGACCACUCAACCCUAGGGGGACUACUCAACUCUAACCGACUAAUAUGAUCCCGACCCUACAAUUUUUCAUCCAAGGGUACUACUCAACCCUGGAGUACCGCAAUUAUCCUGACCCAGUGGGGACUACUCAACCCUAGGGGACUACUCAACCCUAGGGGUACUACUCAACCCUGGAGUACCGCAAUCAUCCCAACCGUAUAAUUUUUUAUCCAAGGACCAAAAAAUCGGAAGAAUCAGAUCUUUUAUGCUUCUGAUAGCAUAGUAGCUCUUAUAUAUAUAUAUAUAGAACUAGGCUGGAAUACUAUUAAUAGCACCAAUGCUAUUAAGUCAUUGGUGGUAUUAAUAGUAUUCCAGUCUACUUCUAUAUAUAUAUAUCUAUAUUAAUCGGAAGUUAGGGCAUGACUCCUAAAUUUAAGCUCAUGUGGGAACUCAAACCUCCAUUCUUAUGUAUUCAUGACAUCUGAAUACCUAACCACUAAACCACCAAUGAUUUAGUUAUAAUUUUUAGUUGCACACGUCCUUAUUUAUUAAAGAACUAUAUUAUAAAUCAUCUGAUUGCACUGUACUAAUUAUAUCCAAUUUCAGUUCUGUCUUUUUAAGUUCAUUUCUAAGAAGUUUUCUAUAAGAUUAAUUUUUGGAGAUACAGUUUGAAAGCGAAUUCCAAAGCCUUUCAAAUGUCUAUUGGCUAAGUAGCACUACUGGAUAGGGGUGGAAACGAGCCGAGCUCGAGCGAGCUUACCUCGGCUCAAAUUCGGCUUGAAAUUAAUUUUGAGCCUAAAUUUAAGCUCAAGCUUGGAUUGAAAUUAAUUCGAGCCGAGCUCGAGCGAGCCUAAUUUCAAGUCGAGCGAGCUCGAGCCCUAAACGAGCCGCUUGAAAUUCUCAACAUUAUACGAUCAAUAGUUUAAUUUGUAUAGAACAUUAUCUAUAAUUUGAUACAAAAAUAUGUCUAAUAGUUCAAAGUACAAAAUAAUUAUAUGAAAUAUAGUAUUAUAAUAUGAAAAAAAAUAAUUUAUGAGUUGAAUAUCUAAUCUUUUCAGCCUCACAUGUCUUUUCUUCCGCCUUCAAUCUCCAUAUUAUUCAUUUUCAUUUAUGCAGUCAAAAAUAAAUAAAUUAUAUAGAUAAAUAUUGGAUUAAACUAUCCAAUCAUAUAUAACUAAAAUUAAAAUUUUAUAUGAAUAAUAAUUUUUUACUUUAAAAAUAUUCUGUAUAUUUUCUCAAGCAUACAAUUAAUAGCAAGGUAGGCAACGGCGGGCAUAUGAUGUUACUUGGUAACUUAGAGGACUUCCGGCUUGGCCACUUAGGGUAAGAGACAGAAAAAGAGAAAGAGAGAAACAUAUUGAAAAUUUAGAGCUCUGUGAAAGAAAGAAAGAAAGAAAAGAAAAAUAUAUAAAUUUAGUAAAAUUUUGCUCUUUUAUUUGUCUAUUGAGUUUGUUUUUAUGGGCCAACAAUAUUGGCCCAAUUUUAACUAAACUCAGAUUAUUCACUCAGCCUAUUUAUAAUUAAAAUAUAUUAUAUUUAUAUAUUUUUUAAUAUAUAUAUAUAUAUAUUCGAGUUUUUCGAGCUUAAUUCGAACGAGCCGAGUAAUACUCAAUCUCGGCUCGAAAUAAAUUUCGAGCUUUUUUUUUUGUUCAAGCUCGGCUCAUUUAAUUUCGAGUCGAGCUCGAGCGAGCCAAAUACCGAGUCGAACGCGAGCCGGCUCGCUCAUUUGCCAGCCCUACUACUGGAGGAAGUAUUAAGAGCUAGCCGUUUCAUUAAAUCUCACCUCGACAUCGACCUCUCUAUAGCAAAAGCAAGGGUUUCACACUAAAGUUUUUAUUGGAACGUUACAUAAAAUUACUUAAAAUAUCCAUCACUACAAUUUCAUAGUCAUUUCACAGUGAAAAUCAGCAUUUUUGGUGCAUUUGAAUAGCUAACGCAUACUGUCCCUUCGAAGUUCGAACAGCCAUUUGUCUAAUCACUUUACGUUUCAACCAUUUAUCUUUCUGAAGUAGCCAAAAUAUUACAAACUCAUUUUCAGCUAUACCGAACGGACACUAACAAUAAAAUUCUCUUUUGGAAAGGCAAUAUUAUUAAUCGAGUUAUUUGUAUUAUUGUACGUGAAUCAGAUCUACUAAAUUUGAUCAAAUUUAAAUGUACUUAAUAGGGAAUAGCGAGUACGUUUCAUUCAUCUUAUCACAGGUCAUGUAGCUUGAUGAGUGGUGACUGAUCAAUGAGCCUAGCUUGUCACCUUUCAUAGCCCAAAGAAUCAAUCUUGUCACACACUCCCAACUUCUCUCGUGUUGUGCGUGGUUCCAUUAAUAUCAAGGCAAUAAUAAGUACACAAUAAUUGGGAGACAAAUGCAAUGAACAAUGCAAUGCAACAUGGGGAAUAGUAGAAUAUAUGUACUCAACAUAAGCAUGUUGUAUAGCUUAUUUGACCUAUUAUGCUUUUCCACAUUACCAUGCUCAUCUUAUUCAUGGCUUUGCUCUUGUCCCCUUAUCCUUUUCCACCUCUUCUACUCGUCUCAUACAUUAUCUAUUCGUCCCCUUCUCCCUUGUAUACAUCCUUGGCAUGAAUAUUUUGUCUACCUGCCCCCCCCAUGUGACACUGUCAUCAAACAUUAUGCACCUUGAUAUCUUAAACCUAGGGUUACUCAUUUGUACUACUUGGGCCUAUUAAACUAAGGUUCAUAUAUAUUGUACCCUUUUGGGUAUGAAAGCUUAACUAAUCCACCUUCACUAGCCAACAAAAGUAUUUGUGUGCGGCUACACUAUUGGUAUUUUGGCCGUAGGACAUCGGACUAGAUCUGAAAGAAUUGAGCUCGAGUUCGAGAGAAUGUUCGCGGUUUAGAUGUUAAGAGUGUACGAAGCCAAGCGCUCGAUUAUUACCAGAAAAGAAGGAAAAAAAUUAGUGUUAGAUAUCGUAAUUAGCUCACAUGAACUUCAUAUCAUCUAUUCAAGCUUCAAUAAAACCUUAGGCCGGAGUGGGCUGACAAUGGAGAUUGAAUUCGAAACCUCUUAGCUUAUUAUACUUCCAUUUUUUUAAAACUAGGGGUAGCAAUUCAGUUUGAUGGAUCACAAAUUAAUAGAUUGAAUUAACAUAGAUAUUGGAAACAAAUAUACCGAUCUCUCGAAGUAACUACAGUGGCAUUUACAUUGACCUUUAAAUUAUAAUUCACAAAAAAGCAAGAACAGAAGAUGAUGAACAGUUUCCACAUCAGUAUUUGACUUGUGAGUUGCUGCCACCCUUAUGCGAAAUGUAUAUCAGAAGAUGAUGAAUUUCACGGUGUAUCGAGUCCCUCGUUCUGCAAUAUCGGCUCGAUUUCGUACACUACAUCAAUCAUUUUCGGCCGUGGCCAUGCGGAUUCUCUGACACAAUCCAUUGCUAAUUGCACAAAUUAACCUCUUGAAGCCCAUGAGGUUUGCUGUGUUCCUAAUGAUAGGAUCAAUCAUGUCCUCGAGACCGUAAUAAUCUUGAUCAUGCUUUUCUAUUGCCAGCCUCACUUCGUGAACAAUGCGCUCGCCAUUUUCUAUCGGAGGCUUUCCAGUUAUCAGCUCGAGCAUGACGGCACCAAAGCUGUAGUCUGUAGACAUCACUCUUCUCGGAGAACCGUCAUCCUGCAGUUGAUCAUGAUCAAAUUAUACAUUGUGACGCAGAAAUAAUGGUUGAGUUGAGAAGCAUCAUUUAAGUUGUCACGCAAGGUCCCGUUGGGAAUGAAUUCGUACACCAGCGUCUGCUCGCGUCGCGUCGAUGCAAAAGCCUGCGAGGCCUAUGAGAUUCUUGUGAUGAAACCCUGGACAACAACUCUCAUCUCAGUUUUUAAUUCAGAGUUUUCACCUUGUAUGGAUCCUUGCUUUGCUCGCUUUAUUGCGACCGUUUGGCCGGUGGAGAAAGAAGUUCUUCAAUGGAGACAGCGUCGGAUUUGCGGAUAUAUCAUUCGCUUGGAUGGUGUAUGUGAUUCCGAUUUAUGAGGAAAUCACAAAAGUAGGAAUUAUAACAGAGGAGAGAUUUCCAAUGUUAUUUGCAUGGAUGAAGAACUUCGCAAGUUCACCAGUUACUAGAGAUCAUUUGCCACCCAGAGACAAAUUACUCCUCAGGUAUCAGAAGAUCCGUUAAGCUCUUUUUGCAGAAGCACAAAUGAAUAUAAGGAGCCCUACAAUGAUUAUAGUCCAUUGAUUAUAUUGUUGUAAUAAAUGUAAUUUAUAGUUCUCUUAGAAUUGUUCUUUAUGAUUCAGAUGCAGCAUAUAUGCACAAAAAGCACUACCUAGAAAAGAGAAAUCCAUUAUUCUAAUUCUUAUGGAGAAAAAAAAUAUGCUUGCGAGUGAUUAGAGCGUGUUUCACAGUUUUAAUAUUGAUAGAUAGACUCAUUAAAACUAAUCACUAUUUACUGAUUCAAUUUGACCAGAUUCAAUAAGUUUGAUAUGCUCCUGUCAAAAAUAAAUAUGCUACGAAAUUACCAGUGACUAUCGCAAUUUCACUGUUUCUUCUUAACUUGCUUCUGUUUCUGCUUCAACACCAAUAACUGCAUCCGAAACCAAUCGUACCUAGCGUAAUUGGCUAAAAACUUGCUAGUAACCGAGGUCCCAAAUUCGAAGCCUAAUUGUAUUACACUUCUGGCUCAGUUCAUUUGUUAAAAAAAAAGACCGAAGCCAGUAACGUACGACCUUUCUCUUUUUUUGGAAAAAAAGGAAAAGAAAACAGCACCUGAGAAAACAACAAAUGGUUAAAUAGAGCGAAAGAUAAUAAAAACUCAGAAUUUUAUUAGUAGCCCAUCAAAAAGGAUGGAGCUCAGAAUAAUCUUCAACAAUGGUUGUUUACAAACAACCACGAUUUGAUUCAUGUGUCUCGAUUCCUAGCAAGCAAAUUUCUCUCUCUCAAAAAAAAAGAAAAGAAAAAAAAAAAUCAGCUAGGAAGACCAUCAACUUGUGCUCAACAACAGAUCCUUGUGGAAUAGCUACAGUGAUCAACAAAGGUUCAUGGUAUCAUACAAAAAUCACCAAACAAUGAGGUGAUAUGAUUAUUAGUAUAUGCAUAAUAAAUCGCUAAUCUGGUAAACAAACAGGUGUUCUUCUAGUAGAAGCUCAAAGCCUUCUUGGUCAGAUUAGUCGUCCCAGUGGAUACUGAAAUCUGUUUUUAAAUUUACUUUGUUUGUGUCUGUUCAUAAGAGUAGUCUUCGGAUGUCGCUGAAGUUUGCAUCCAGAGUAGAAAGGAAUUUACCUGUGUACAGAAAAUAAAUAUAAUAGAAUUACCUUCAAACACAAAGUAUAACCAAAAAAAAAAAAAAAUCAAAAUAGAAAAGGGAAGUUGCCUGCAAGCUGCCCGUCAAAAAUACGAUGAUCAGCAGAUAAUUUUAAGCCCAUUUUGGUGACAACUGCAGCCUUUUCUAUUCCUGUAAAAGAAAAAAGAAGAGUAAGCGCGACUGCAUAAUUUGUUAAACAUUAGUUGUCACGAGAGAGAUUAAUAAAACAUACCAUCACUGCCUAUAACAGGUUCGACAACUUUGUUGCCUCGACCUACAGCAAGAAUAGCAGCCUGGAAGAGAGGCAUGUAUAGCAGUUAUGGACAAUAAUUAUCACCCAUGCCAUUCCUUUCGAAAAAAGCAACUGAACUUGCCAAAGAAAAGUAAAACCAAAAGCUUCUCGGUCCCAAUUAGUCAGGAAUGAGCAUUAAUUCCUUUUAACCAUUUUGUAGAAUCUAUCUGAUCAAACUUAGUGAUCAACUUAUCUUUCAUCACUACUCUGUAAGACUCUUUGUUCCCUCUCACACCUAGUAAUACGAGUAAUGAGGGAAAAUGACAUGUUGGAAAAUCAACUGAUAGUACUCCGUAGUCCAUACUGUCCGAAAUGAUAAAGAAACCAACACCCAAACAUGUUACUCGACACCUAAAAGUGAACACCGCUAUACAGACACGGAUAAGUAGAUACUUGUGGGAACUUUGGGACAGUGGAUACAGAAUCUAGCGUGUCGACCUGAGGAAGAUGCCAAAUGAGGGCAUAGUUGUUUCCCUAAGACUUCAAAUAUUCAGAUUUCCCAAAUCCAAUCUAGCCAGGUGAUUGGCUGGAGUGCCAUAUUGAUAAGCUUACAGCGACAGGAGUGAAACUAGUAUAAUUAUCUAUACACUGAGAAAAAAGACUUGUAUGUUAUUUAAGUCAUCCCUAGGUAGAGUUCUAAAGCACCGCCAUCCCAAAUACUUGCAAAAUUAAGGUAGAGUUCUAAAGUCGCAGCAUCCCAAAUGCUUUUAAAAUUGUAGGAUGCUCUUCAGCAAAACAACGAUGAGCUUAUGUGGUGAUUCAUGUGCUCAUUCAUGCCUUUUUAAACUUUUUCUUUAUGCCUUUUAAAACGGCGAUCUUAUGUGGUCCAUUAACCCAGGCCCAAAGGCCUUUGAGAAGAAUAAAAGCAGGAAUGCUUUAUGCAUUUGUGCUCCAAAUCCGUCUCAUUUGCCUUGUUUCUGUUUGGCAGUGUACCUUCUGAGCAUCCCCCAAAACCCAACGUGGUAGCAGCUUAGCUUGAUUCUAUUUUUUGUUUUUUCCAGAAGUUUCACACGUAUUGGAUAUUUGGAUUUAAGUCCAAAGAUAAAAGUUGUGUGUGAAUAGUUUGAAAGUUAGAAUAAAGGAGAGAGUGGACCACAAACCUGCGGAGGGUUAAUAAUUGCACAGAAAUGGUCCACUGGAUACAUUCCCAGAUUUGAGAUGCUGCACAGAAUGAAUAAGAAAAUCAUGUACUUAGAAGCAUAAUUAAGAACAUACCAUAAAUAAUCUGUAGAUAAAUAUAGCAUGCUAACCUGAAAGUUCCACCUUGAAAUUGGUUAGGUGCAAGCUUCCCAGCUCGUGCCUUCUCGGCCAACUCUUUGACCUAUGAAUAUUUACGAAACCAACAAACAGUUUUUCACUUGCCAUUGACUAUAUUAAAGAUUCAUUUUCUCUUCUCAAACAGAUAUAUAACUUAUGAUUGUUACUUGAAGUUGAACAACCAAAACAAUACAAAAACAGCACUAGAUUCUGAUAACCUUCAAUAUAGAUUUACAUUUCAUGUUAGCUUCUGAAUAAGCAAAAACAGAGCUUUCAAAACAAGGAUUUCAAUGAAAAUGUAAAUUGAAGCAGCCAAAUGGUUUGAGCAUAAUAUAGAAGACAAAAAAUAUUCUCAAGAUAAGCACCGGUACUACCGUAAGGAAAAACUGUUUCUGGUGUUCCCACACUAACCCCACACUAGAAGAAAAGGAGAAACAAACCAACACCUUGUACCACCCAACCCUUCCAAUAACCAGGAAAAAAGAGAAACAAAAAAAAGGGGUUGAACUAGAGCCAGGAAUAUUCUCACCUCCGAGGAAAUUGCUGUCAAUGUCUUUUCAUCUGCAUUCCUUAUGAUUGGAGUCAUCAAGCCCUGUACCGUGACAGAACUGAUCAUAUUAGCAAAUUGACAUAUACUAGCAUAAUUCAGAUGAGAAUUGAAAAGCAUACCUUCUCAGUAGCAACAGCAAUUGAUAUAUCAACCGAACCGCAUAAUUCAGGUUCUUCUUUUUCUGUACUCCAGUAAGCUGCUCAUUCAUUAACAAUGAAAUAGAAAUUCUAGUUAGGACGAAGUUGCACCUUAGAAAACAAUGCAAUUUACAAUUGAAUGCAUGCAAUGUCUCUAACUAAUGCCUCAUAGCAGUAGCCACUUAGCUAACAAUCUAAUAGUAUAAUAUCAUAUAAAAUGUGAAGGUACGAUGAUAGAUCAGUUAAUUUAUUAACUUUGAAAAAAAAAACAUACUUAAAUACGCUAUCAUAAUUUCGUUAUUGGUGAAUUAUAUAAUCACCGAAAGGAGGAACUUAACUUUGGGGAUUUAGAUGAGGUCAAGUCAGGGAGCUAAUAUGCCAUCUCAUUCCUUGGGUGGCAAGUUUGACAAGCCAAAAUUUUACGACAUAAUGUAAAUUUUUCUCAAAUUAAAUCCAGCUUGGUCUUCAAGAGCCUUACCAUUUGCUUCAGGUACGUUCCUUAAUGCAAGUGCAACAGCUUUUAUGACAAUAUCGUUAACUGAAACUUUCACAUUAUGCUGCUCUGCAGGUCCAUUAAAGAUCACAAAACAAAAGCAACAAUUUAAUCAGCGAAUCAGUAUGCAGAGUAAGGAUCCAACAUACCGAACUACAUACCUUUAAGCUCAUUCCUGAAAGCAAUUAGAGGAUCCAACAUGACAUCUGAUGACAAACAACAAAUACUUCAACAAACUGUAAGAUGCUGAAACAGUAUGUAUAAUGAAUGAUGACAAACCUUUCGAUAGAUAUAAAUGCGGAGUACUUUGUUUUGAUUCCAUCAAUCGUUUUGCAAUGACCUGUCACUCAGAAAAAAAAAAUACUCCACACUAUUACUUUGGAGGAAACAACAGUCAACGUACCAGUGAGAAUAAACUAUUUUAAUCUCAUAUUCAGCAGUGACUGUAUUCUGGAAAUAUGUACUAAUACUCUUUGGACUUUCAAAAGGAAAUCAAAGCCUUUGUUUCUGGGACACGUGAUAGAACAAUGUGACAAGAACUGUAACAGAAAUUAAUAUUGUUUGAAUGGAGGGUCAAUUGUGAUACUAUGCAAAGCUAAGCAAGAAAUUUAAAAAAUUAAGAGCAAGGAUUUAAGUGCCAUCGGCAUGGGUGGUGCCCACCGUGCCGUACCAUGCCGAUAAGGUAUUGGCACGAUACGACCCCCAUACCGAUGCUCAAAGCCCUCUUUUUUCAAAUUUAGGGCGUAACUGGAUUAACAAAAUACAAAAGAUUUAAUAAAAAAUAUUUAAAAGUAAUUACAAUAUAUUGGUGCCAAAGAAAAUAUCUUUUUUAUUGGCAAAGUGCGUUAGCGCACAAGUAUUGUGUCAACGACACACAUCGGCACGGCAUGAUGCGCACCAUGCCAUAUUGUGCCAGCAAGUGCUCCACACAACCCCGUGCCUCGGCAUUCAAAUCCUUGAUUGAGAGUUUAUUGAGUUCUUUCUACAAAAGGAUGAACUUCCAAGGGGUAUCAGAAAUUUUAUUCCCUUUCUAUGAACAAAGGGCAUAUCCAACAGUAAGCUGAAGCUGACCAAAGACUGAUUGCACUGCAUCUAAAGUUCAGGUGCUCGCACAAACACAAGCAUGCACACACAUAUAUACGCAAAUUAUACAUGCAUAAAUCUACCAUCGGUUACUUAUGAAUCUGGUUGUAUUUAACUUGAAAUUUUUUAAGCAAAACAUAAAACUAUUGUAUGAUUUCCCUGACAAGAUUAUGGUCAAAGCACAAUAAGGGGUCAUGAUGAUGUCUCACUAAAACAGUGAUCCUGGUAAGCAAAAUCACUGAGCUUCUUUUUCCAACUCACAAAACUCGAAGACAUUUCAUCACCAUCAUGACAAACUAUUUUUUUUAUUUUUUUUUUUGUACACAGUAAUUGAGUCCCAUUGUCAUAAUCGUUAAAACUAAAACUGCCUGGAAAAAGUGAACCAAAUUGGGCUAACUCUUUCUAGCAAAAAUAACAAAUCAACACAGUUGAUUUCAAUCAGUUUAAAGACACUUUUAGCAGUCACUAAUUAUUAGUUUACUAACAGGCUUCUAGAAGUACCAAGACAUUAGGAAAAUAACUCAAAAUCAAGUAAUUGGAAACUUACAGCAAUUCGCCAUAAUAAUAUGCUUUGGAAUCACGAUGUGAUAUGAUUGGCAUUCAAAAUUUGCAUCCAACUACAUAACUACACAGUUCGCAACACAAUUGCAUGGUGGCAGCAUGAAUAACAAAUUAUGGUUCUGAAAUGAAAUUUUAAAACCACUAAAUUUUGUGUUCCAUUUAUGUUUAAACUAACAAUUAAAUGAAAAUAUACCUUGCGUAUUUGACUAUUGGGCAGAUCUUCAUAAGCAUCCUUGUCUUGCGAGGGAGCAACAGUGGGAGUUGGCACAUGACCAGUUACAUGAGAUGCAUGUGUUGAUGAAGCUUUGUCAUCCUGAGAUGGCUUAGAAGAUUGUAGAGACGAUCCUGCUGAUUUUAUUGCUGCGAGUACAUCCCCUUUCAAAAGUGUACCUCGAGGCCCUGAUGCUUUGAGCGAAGAUUCUUCUAGUCCAUAGUCUUUAAUAAGCAACUUUGCUGAUGGGCUGAUUCGGCUGAACUUCCCAUCUUGUGUUCCCCUUUUCUUUUCCAAAUUCUUUGAUGGUUCCUCAAUUGUUUUUUCCUGUUUGGGCUCGGCCCCUUUAGAUAUAUCACCUGGUAUCUUUGUAAUGUCAUCUGGAUCUUCAACCUUCCAUAUAAUAUAAUGACUUUGAGAUACAAGCUAUGUAGAAUGUAGAAAAUGUGUACUUCAAAAGUAAAAGAAAAACACUUCCAUCAGGUAAAGAACUAUACUGUUAUUGCAAUAGGUUGUCCUACAGGCACAUCCUUUGAACCUUCGGGUGUUAAUAUUUUAGCCAGAAACCUGUAGAAAUUCUACCCACAAUUUAGAAGGCAGGAACACAUAUUAAUGUGCUUAACUGAAACCAUUUUGAAGCAAACUCACAUAGCAAAAACCUAAAAUAUGUACUACAUGUCCCUAAAGGAAUUGAAUUCUUUAAUUAACAUGAUAACAACGUGCUAACAACAUACACCAAAUCAUAAAGGAUAGCCACAAACUAAGCAACUAUUUAGCUCGAUUGCAUAAUAGUAGAGAUUGUAGUUCUACUCAUAGCAAUACUUCUUAUUUGAGAUGUACCAGCAAGCAUAGUAAUAUUACCCUUCUUCAAGACUCUCGAAUUCCACAACUGCUUUGUCUGUCUCUAUUUCACAGAGUACAUCGCCCACAUCUAUCUACAAAUAGAAAUUAGUCAUAAGUGAGAGCUUCAGAGGUUGUGAAGGAAAAGCAAUUAUAUAGCCCGCAUAACAUAGAUCUCACCAUCUAUCACAGGAUAGAGAUCUUUUAGGCCCUUUACAUAUAGGCCACCCAAAAUUUUUGAUUUUACAUAAUGCACUAUGUUGUCCAAAAUACUAAAAAUGUCACAACAAUCUCUCAUAUUUGCAUUUAUAUUGUGCAUAUGUGCAAAAUCAAUAGUUCCAAACUGCCACAUAUAGAAUCCAAAGUUUUUAUGAUAGCAAACUAAUAUAUCUCACCUUAUCUCCCUCUUUCUUCCGCCACUUCGCAAUGUUGCCUUGGUUCUGGAUUAAAGAUCAUUGUCAGCUAUCAACAUACAUAAAAAUCAUCAAAUGAAGAUCUCGUAAAUAAAAAAGAAAAAGAAAACAAUUUUGAGGUUAUUCACCAUUGUAGGGGAUAGUGCUGGCAUUUCAAGCACCAAAUGAGAAGGAAGUCCUGCAUGCAUUAACAGCAACCAAAUGUAACAGUCUGACAUAAGCCUUAGAAAACUAGAAAAGUGAUUUAUUAUUGUGACAAGAAGUUCUGCUAGAUGUCAUUGAUUCAAUUCCACAUCCUGGUUAAGGACUCUUAACAAUAUAUGCAGCUUGAGAUUAAAAUCUUUCGAGCCCAGCCUAUUUAAAGGAAAAUUCUUUAGAAAAACCUUGAGUGAUCAACAAUAAGGGUGUAAAUUUGAUGAUGUAAAAACGUCAAAUGACUUCUUUUUCCAAUGAAGCGAAUAUCCUGCGAAUAGCUUAAAGGAAAGUGUUUAAGCAGCGGAAAUUGCAUGAAAAGUAGCUUACAUGAAAGAGUUGCUACUCUAAAUAGUUAUGCACUUGGUAGCUUAGAACAUUACUAGUUCCCCAUCAAUGGUCAAUAAUUGCUUAAAUUGGAUGGUAGACUUAGGAGUGUUGGAUCCAUUCUUUCCUUACGGAAAAUAAAUGAAGUACACUACCUGUAGAUGAGAACCACCGAACCCGAACGAGUAACUGCAUUAAAAAGACAAAUUAGUAUUGAUAUAACAAGAUAACAUGAACCAAUCUGUUGACUAACCUUGUCUGUUGAUGGGUAAUCUGAGAUGCUAUUAACUGACGACAACGAUAAAGGCCUGGAGGAGAAAAAAAUCACCAAGUAAUUUAGGCACCAAAUUACUGAAAAACAGGAUUUGAAAUCUAUCAAUACUCACAAUUUUCUUUUAAAAUGCCCCAACUCCCAUGCAAUAUUAAGUUAAGGAUCUUCGAUUUGUUGGAUGACAUGUAGUUUUUAGAGAAAUUGAGAAAUCAAUAGACAUAUACGACAAUCAGUGGUUCUUAAUGUACAUUAUUAAUCACAAAAAGUACUCUUGUUGACUUUCACUAUUAUUAAUCACAACAAACGGAGUUCAAGCAAGAUAUUACCGAUGCGAUUAUGCCAAAUCAAGUUCGAUGAAUGAAAUCUGAAGUUUAUAAUGCACUCAUGAUAUAGAGCGAUAAUAUGUUACAUAUGCAUACCUCAGAGUACUUUUGUGAAUAUCGACUAAACAAUUCCUCCGUGCACGGGCCAAGCUACAACAGGUAACAUAAAUGAGCAAGAAAACUUGUUAAAAUUUACUUAGGAUAUAAGUAAAUCCAAUUUAUAUCCCAAACAAGUGAUAAAUAAUAAAAUCUGACAUCAUGUGCACACAUUCUUGCAAUGCCAAAAGGAAAGAUAAUUAGAAAUGACAAACAUUUGCAAAACUAGAUUACCAAACUAAUACAUUUAACAGAUCUAAUCUAAACACAAAGUACUAAUUUUGAAAUCACAGCUGAAAAAUAGGAAAGGGAAUCAGUGACCCCUGGCACAAAGUUCUAGCUGAUAAAACAUAAGGCGUGAAAAGAAAAUUUCAAGAAUGGUCUACGACUUUAUUCAUAGAUAGUUGUAAUUACGGAAACUGCGAUUGAAUGUCGAUGGGAACAUCAGAAGAAUAAUACUAGCCAUCAAUCUCUGAUAUGAUUGUUCGAUGACAAAUGAAUGCUCAAAAUGCUAUCUCCAACACUUCUAGGUCACUUUUACCCAUGGGUCUCUCUGCACAGACGGUAUAUUCUUUUAUUGGUGUGGGCACUUUAAUCUAUCUGUUGCAUGCUCGUCAACAUUAUAAAAUACUGCUUCUAGCUAAUCCAAUAUUCUGUAGCAAGUUACUCUUAUGUAUCCCCUGAAGAAAGAUUCAGUAAAUUUCCUGAAAUUAAACGCAUUUCCCUCCAAGACUGUAUGUGUAAUGUUUAGAAUCUUUGGACUAAAUCACUUGAUUCAUAUCAAGGAUACAACUAGAUCAUCCUUCUAUAGUCCGAAUCUCUAGGAAACUCUCACUCUAAGAACUAAGUUCAAAAUUUCCCUUCAUGCCAGAGGCUUAACUAAUUUCCAGAAAUUUGCAUAUUUUCCACCAUUUGCUUCAUUUUAAAUUUCCUAGUUCAGUUGAUCCCACUGCAUUAACUGGUAAAGCAAAUUAACUCAAUUUACAAUCUUAAUUAGCAAUUACUUUGACAAAAGAAUCAUCGGUUCUAUACAUCUUCACAAAUUUACAUUUCCCUUGUAUUUUAAUUAGACAAAAAAACACCAAACUUCCUAAUAAAUAUUCAAAAUUCAACAACUUAUAUCCAUAAAGUAUGAAAUUUUACACUCAGAGCACAGUGAUGGAAAUAAAAACAUUUCAACAUCAAAUGCAGGGUUCUUCUUUUUUUUAAAAAAAAUAAUAAAUCAGAGGAAUAGUCAAAUAGUAGCUUUACUUACCCAACCAGAAGCGAUCGAACGUUCGCCAUAAACCCUCCUCACUCUCCACCGAUCUGUACAAAACGCCUCUCCAAUCCGAUCUAACCAAAACGAAGAAACAAAUAGAUUAAAACCUAAUGAUUCGAUCUAAGCACCGACGAACAGGAAGAGAAAUCGUUACAGAGAUCGAAUCGAAGGACAAAUUCGGGAAGCGUAAUACCAGGUAGAGGUGUUCGGCUCGAAGAGAUACUCAAAUGGCGGAUUCGAGCGAGGAGUCGUGCGGUGGCGUCGAUGGGAGAAGGGAGGAAGAGAAGCGAAGGUGGAGAGGGGUAGUUCGGGAAGAAGAAGAAGAAGAGAAAUGGUGCUUUCCUUUUGUGACCGGUCCGAGUGAACCGGUCAACGAACCGGCGGUUCGGUUGGACCAUAGUUUCACUCUGUGUUGGUACGUGGACGCGACCUACAUGGACCGAUCUUUUACAAAGCCCAACGGGAGCCCAAGUUUAUGUCAUUAUUUAGACUAUUGGAAAAUGCCUGUAUAUCCCUCCAAAAAAUCAUAUUUGUAUAUUUACCCCUAAAAAAUUUUGAGUGAUAAAAUCUAUCCCUCUAAAAUUUCAAUGAAUCGAGAAAAUGUACAAAAAUAUAACUCAUUUGAUCUUUCAUAUAUGCUCUCUAAAAAAAUUAAAAGCGAUAAAAUUUACAUCUCUAACGAUUUGAUUCCUUUUGACUUCAUCUUAUAUUUUAAUUUACAUCUCUAAAUUUACAUCCGUAAAUAAUUCGAGCCAUAUACACACUAACUUGACCUAAUAAAUGAAUCGGGCUAAUGAACCUAACGAGCUAGACUUUUCCAACUCAUUGUGAGCUCGAGCCAAACAUGAGCUAACUUCUAAAAAUUUGGACCUAAUCUUGAGUUGGUCCAGCUCGUUCGUGUUCGGUUUAUUGAAAGUCUCAAAAGACAAUAAUUUUUUCGCGAUAAUUAUUUUAGCUUGGGCUGGUAAUGGGCCUGGUUAGGUCCACAGCCCAUAUGCAAGGCCCAGAAUUUGAACUUCAUACAUUAUACACCCAAAUGAUAUUGAAUUGCAAAUUGGAUAGAUUUAGUUUACCGAUUUCGUACAAAAAAUUUAAGAAUUAAUUUUGCACUAAAAAAUUCACUUUCUAAAGGUCCAUAUGCGGAUCAUUGGAGAAAUGAUUUUUUUUUUUUUUGAAAAUGAAAAUCUCUCAAUAGUUAAUAUUAGAUCCAGAGGGCUUUUACAGUAGUGUUGUUUGAUUGGAAAAAGCAUUUAACAUCUUUAACCACAUUAUUACUUAGCUUUAUGUUGGAACAAAAAUUUUGAGAGAGAGAGAGAGAGAGAGAGAGAGAGAGAGAGAGAGAGAUUCUUUCUAGCCAAAUAAGCUAAAUUUCAAUUUUAGAAUUGUUAAUAUAUAGAAUCCAACUGCUAUCCUUUUAGGAGGAUAGGGACUUCGUCCUAUCAAAUCAUUUUUGAUGAUAGAGAUUUCAAAUCGAUGAUCGGAACUAUUAAAGUUAAUCUAGAGAAUUUGAAUUAUCUAGGAACUAAAUUUUAUAAAUUUUAAAAUUUAUUUACAUAGUGAUCAAAGAAUUGCAAACUUAACAGUUUUGACAGCCUAUAUGAGCCGUUUGCUUGUUUAACGAUGUAGAGUAAUUCAAACCGGUUGAAUUUUCGAUAGAAAAUUUUUUAUACUAUUUAGAUAAUGUUUAAUAACUCUGAUCGUAAAUUGAGAAAGUUUAACCUUCGUUUUCAGAAGGUCGAUCGUUCAUUUUUCGACUUUUCGAUGGAUUUGAUAAUGAUUUUUAAAAAUUAUAGAAUUCAGUUUCUAAAUAUUUCUAAUAAUAUAGAUCAAUUUCAACGGUGCCGAUUAUCAAUUUGAAGUCCUGAUCUUUCAAAAUGACUUAAUAGGACAAAAGCUUCUAUUCUCUUUAAGAGGAUAGUAGUUAUAUAGAGUUGAGCUAGAAUACUAUCAGUAGUAAACGAGCCGUUUUACUACCUAUUUAUUUUCGAUGAUAGAGCUUCCAAAUUGACAAUCGGCUCUGUUAAAUAUGAUUUAAACCAUUUAAACUACCUAGAAAUCAAAUUUCAAACACUUUCGAUAUUGUUCUUUUAUCCAUCAAGUGAAAUGAAUGGCUGAAAAUGAAUAUUCUUUUAAAAAUGAUGAUAGGAGUCUUAUAAUCAAGAUCAAGAGUAUAGAUCUUGUUUUAAAUAGUUUAAAGAAUUUUCUAACAAAAAUUCAAUUGAUUUGGAUAUCUUUACGCCGUUAAACGAGAAAAUGCCUCUUAUCGACUGUUAAAAUUACAAAUUUUGAAAUCCUUUGAUCAUUAGGCAAAUGAUGUCGAAAAGAUUUGAAAUUUGAUUUCUAAACACUUCAAGUGGUAUAGAUCAUGUUCAACGGAGCCGAUCGUCAAUUUGGAAGCUCUAUCAUCGAAAACAAAUAGGUAGUAAAACGGCUCAUUUACUUCUGAUAGUAUUCUAGCAAAACUCUUUAUAUAUAUAUAGAACUAGGCUACUAUGCUAUUAAUAGCACCAAGUCAUUGCACUACCAAGUUUUUGGCCAUUGGAUUAAGAGAUGUGCGGUUAGGAUGAUGUGGGCCCCCUAGGGUUGAGUGGGUGGUUAGUUGAAUAGUAUAAUCUAACGGGUGAAAAUGAUCAAAAGGGUAGAUCUAACGGCUGAAAAUUUGGUAGCACCAAGUGCUUCGUGCUAUUAAUAGCAUAGUAGUCAGACUCAUAUAUAUAUAUAUAUAUAUAUAUAUAUAUAUAUAUAUNGAUUUUUUAGCCGUUAGAUCUACACUUUAAUCAAUUCCACCCUUUAGAUUAUACAAUUCAACCAGCCACCCACUCAACCCUAGGGGAGCACCACUAAAUCCUAGGGAAUUACUAUCAUCCUAACCCUACAAUUUUUCAUCCAAGGAUUAAAAACUCUAUAGCAAAAAAACCAAAAUACUAUUAGUAAUAUUUCAGCCCAAUUUUAUAUAUUAUAUAUAUAUAUAUAUAGAGAGAGAGAGAGAGAGAGAGAGAGAGAGAGAGAGAGAGAGAGAGAGCAAGGCUGCUGUGUUCGUGCUCCUAAGCCGUUUUCGAUGAUCGAAUUUUCAAAUUGACGAUAUGCUCCGUUAGAUUUGAUCUAUUAUAUUUAAAGUAUUUAGAAAAUAAAUUUGUGAGUUUUUUAUGUCAUUUACCUAGUGAUCGAAUGAGUUCAAAAUCAAUAAUUUUAAUAAUUAGUGUCUAUUGUUUUCAAGUUUAAUGGUAUAAAAGUAUCCAAAUCAUAUGAAAUUUUGAUAGAAAAUUCUAUAUACUUUUUACAGCAAGAUCAAUAUAUCUGAUCGAAAAUUUUGGUGUCAAUCAUCAUGUUUUGUGAGAUUUUUAUUUUAAGCCGUUGAUUUUAAAACCUUUCGAUCGCUAGGUAAAUGAUAUAAAAAAAUUGUAAAAUUUAUUUUCUAGAUAUUUCAAAUAAAUCAAGUUUAACAGAGUCGAUCAUUGAUUCGAAAUUUCAUCAUAAAAAACGGCUUAGGAGCACGAAUGCCUCCGUGCUCCUAAGAGCAUAGCAACUCUGCUCUCUCUCUCUCUCUCUCUCUAUAUAUAUAUAUAUAUAUAUAGAAUUAGGCUAUAAUACUUCUAAAAGUAUCAAGUCAUUGGUGCAAUUAGAUUUUCAACUUUUAGAUGAAGGAAAGUGUGGUUAAGGGUUGAGUGAAUCAUUGGUUGAAUAGCAUAAUUUAAUGGAUGAAAAUAAUUAAAGGGAUAAAUUUAAUAUUAAAAUACUUAGUAGCAUCAAGUGUUUGGUGCUAUUAGAAGCAUCUGUGCCGAACUCUCUCUCUCACUCUCUCUUAUAUAUAGACUAUAGGCAUUAUUCUAAAGAUAGGUGGAAAAGAGAAACUGACAUUAAAUAAGGUGCUUAUCUAAAAAUGGAAAUAAAAUAUUUGAUUUAGUUGAAUAAAGGAUGACUAUGAUAUUUAACGUCGCCAUCUUAAUCCAAUCACAUGCUGCUACAUCAGCUUGUCAUUAAUUAAUAAAGGAGAGAGUCAAUGAGAUUAGGAUCUGGGCACAAAAAUUUUGGCUUUAAGAAUGAAAAAUGAAAAAGAAUAAUUAAAAAGCAUGAUUAUUAUAGAAUUAUAAGCCACUCUUCCACGCACCUAUCUAUUUUGUAAGCCCAUUCUCAUCUAUGAAUACUUCUUUGGGCCGGGGUAUAUAUAUUAAAUAUUAAUACAUAUACUAUGAUAUAUAAACAAGCACUUACCAACUAAUUCUCCAGGACUAAGAUAAAUAUAUACUACAAAAAUAGCUACUACAUUAAGUUAAUUGUUUAACUUUUCAUAAUAAUAACAAUAAUAAUAAAAUAGAGUGGUGCUACAUAUGUCGAUUUGAUGAGAUAGGGCUCGUAGUCUUGAGUUUUGACACUCAAAAUAUUUACAAAGCUGAAAGCAACCGGUAAGCAUUUUAUCAAUGUAUAAGUUAUGCCGUCAUCACGUGAUUAUCACUCAACAUGAAGUUCAAAAAUGAAAAUUUCAUGUUAUUUCAAUGUUACUUGCCGAACCUUGUUAACAUUGUCAAUAGAAACUUCAUAGAAAAUUAAGUUUUUUAAAAUUUGAUCGUAAAUUGCGAUUUGUCGAAAGUAAACAAUGCAUUAUGCAAUUUUCCCUUUCAUAUUCAAGAAUAUCUUCAUAAAAACUCCAUAAUAAAUAAAAACUUUAAUUGCCAUAAUUGACUAUGCUCAAAAUCCAAGCAUUACAUGAGACAUGAAUGGGCCAAAUUUCAUUGGUUGAGCCCAAAAUGAGAUCUAGUUGCAAUUGUGAUGCUCAGGUCAAGGUCAAUAUAAUCCCCAUACUAAAGCAAGUGUACUAAGUUACUAUUACUUAGAAACAUUACAUUAAUAUCCUAUUGUGUUCUAUAACUUAUAACAAAUGCAUGCAUUACUAUAUUACUAGGGAUAUUUGGGAGUGUUCACCAUUAUUGAUACCGUAAUUAGGAGGGUCAAAGCGUUGUUUGACCGAGUCUCGACCAAUCGGGUGUGGCCAACAUUACAAAUGAGAUUUCCGAGAACGACCGUUCGACCAAUAACAUCACGCCACGUGUGCAAAAAGUAAUUAGUAUUUUGAAGUCUCCAAGGCGUAUAAUUUCCACUUAACUUUACUGCUAAGCUAAAUUAACACCAUAAUCCCAAGGUAAGAACAUAGAAAUCUUAAGACUCACUUCACCAAAGACCAAAGUAACAUUAGAGUAAAAAGAUAGUGAGACAUGCUACAUAAUUUCGGGAGAGUACGUACUAUUUUGGAUAUCCUUACGAGCUCUUCGAAGAGUUGUUAAUAUGUUAGCAACUACGUGUAACACACAGCAAUUGAUCUGUAUUGUAUAUUUGAUGUUUCAGCGGUUACAGAAGGUCGGCAUGAGAAAUAAAAUAGAGAUAUGGUGAAUAAUAUGGAUAAGAAAUGUCUUCGGAGGCCCUAGCUGCUUCCACACUGUAAGCAUAGUUCAUUUUACUUAAUGAAUGAAACAGAUAGUUUGCUAUCUAUUUCUCAAAAAAAAUAUGGAUAAGAAAUGCUCUUUCCUAUAUAUCCUAAAUAACUAACUCCUAAAGAAUGACUUGUAAUAUAGGGUUUUCCGCAAGAAAAACACUUUUGGAGUUCACUCAUUGUAAAAUUUACUCCAAUUUCCCCAAAACUUGCUAAGCUUUAUGUGGAUGGAUGCAUUCAAUCUCUAGCUACCAAAAAAUUGAGAGUUAAUCAGGAUUCUAGAAACUUACUCAAUUUACUAUUUUGGUGUGAAUUUUUUAUGGUUAUAUAUUCAUGAGUUUUAAUGACUCAAAUGAGGGUGAAAUUUAAUUAACUCCUCUUUAACAAGAAAAAUGGUCCAAAUAAUGAAAUUUAGCUUAUAUUAGAUGAAUAACAUUUAAAACUAAAUAAAACAAUUAAAGCCACUAAAUAUUGAAUAGGAAAAAAAAAAACUUCGGCAAUAUUAGAGGAAUAACAUUUAAUGUUAAAUAUUAAAUAAAACAAUUAAAGCUAAAAAGGUGAAAGAUCCCAACAAUACAUGGUCCAAUCAUGAAAACUGUUGAUUGCAUAAAGUAUGAAAUGGACUAGAUGCAAAACAUCCAUGCUAUUGACAAUAUUAUAAUUAAUCACUGAUUAUAACCAUAUACAAAAGUCUAAGUAAAAUAUUUCACCACUCUUAAUUUCCAUUUUAGACCAGUUCAUGGACAUUUUGUUUUGUAUAAAAGUUAGUUACUGCACAGGUUAAUAAGAGCCUAAAAUUUAUUUAUUUAUUUCAGUAUCACAUGCAUUACUCUACAAUGAUAUAUAGAUCAUUUUAAGGAUUUAUAAUAUCAAGUUUUACUAAAAACUACACAGUUAAAUUCUCUGUAAAUUAAAGAAUUAAAUACUCUUUCCGAUUAAACAUAUAUAUAGAAUACUUCUUACUCUUAAUUUCCUAUAUAAAUAUACUUAUGGAAUACUCCUAGAAAAGUGGUAUGCUAUAUUAAAUAUUCUAAUUACAAUUUACCAGUAUGCUAAUAUGAAAGGUUUCAUAUGUAUAGUUAAUUAAUACUGCAAUUUGCGAGAAAUUAAUAUGGUAUUAUUCAUAACCAAAAUAAUAAUUAUAGUAACAAAUAAGAAAUUAAUAAAAAAGUUAUCACAUUAUAGUGUAAUUAUAUUAUUGUAGAAUUUUUAAAUAUUUAAAGCAUUUUUGAUACUCAUUGGCAUCUUGACAUCUUUAAGAUUAACAGUCCUACAUUGAAUAUAGGAAAAACAAAAUUAAAAAUUUCUACUCUAUUUGUUUGUCCAUAAUUGAUUUUUAAAUUGAAACUAAGUUGAAUGGAAGUUCUGAUAAAAAAAACUUUUUUUUAUUCUAUUGUUGUUUGUUUUAAUUUGGACUAUUGUUUGUUUUGGAGUAAAUCAAUGCCUUUCAAAUAGUAAUUAUCUUACUACGUUAUUUAGUUUACUAAAAAUUUAUAUUAAUACAAAAGAGGAUCAAAAUGUUACAGAAGAACCUAGCACGAAGUCAAUUGCUGUGUUUUGGAAAAAUAGAGUUAUGGAUGAAUUUAAUUUACGGUGCACUAACAACAAAGUGAGCAUUUACAGCCAAAAACAACUUUACCUCUCAAUUUCCACUUCCGGUGAAACAAGAAUGCCUAAAGUUGCUAACUAUAUCCAACGAAAAUGGUAAAGGAUCUUGAUGGUUGACAUCUGAUUCUUGAAUUCGAACACUACAAAAAAAUUAAUAUUUAAUAAUAUUUUUAGAUAUUUAAUGAUACUUAAAAUUAUUUCAAAAUAAUCUAUAGUCAUAUUUGUUGGUUGAGAAAUGAAGAGUCGCCGUAUAUAUGCCGACUCUUAUGUUAGGUAUCGGUUAAAUAUAUUCUAGCACUUUAAAGCGUCAGAAUUUUUUAAAAUCAGAACGUUUUAAAACGUCGAAAAAUUAAAAAUAAUAGUAAAAUUUAUUAUUCAAUAAAUUAGUUUGAUACAGUAGGAGGUCAUAUGAUCAAUGCUUUCGAAGCGUCUAUACUUGCUAUAUUACAGGGACACUCGGGAAUGCUUCUUUCGAGUGUCGUUUAAAUAGCGUUUAUUUGCAGGAAAAGUUUAAUUGUUUCAUAUUUUCAAUUAAAUUUAUUUUUUGAAAAAUGUAAACAAAACAAAAUAGCGUGCUAACAUUCUCUCUCUAAAAAAAAAAAAAAAAAGCAGCCCCAAGGUUUUUAAUCGAUUCAAGCCAUAAUAAACCAUUGUUUUUUUUAAAAGAUCAAUUAAUGUUUGUCAUAUUUUACACAAUUCAGCUCUCAAAAUUUAAUAAAGCUUUUACUUUCUCAUCGUAAAAACUAAAAUAAACUUUUGAACCCUAGGAGAGAAAGUUACAAUUUUUUUACUUUUAGUACUUCUUCAAAUAAUUUGUAUUUCAUUCGCAAAAUUAAGUGAGGCCAAACAGACACUGAGAUGCAUAUGUGGACGAAAUGCUGAGGAUAGGACCACACCACAGAUGCACGAUGAUGCUGAGCAAAACCAUGCAUGUGAACCACUCCCUUUAAAAAUGAGCCAAAAGCCAUUCGAUAAAUCCAUAUAUAAAUACAUAACCAUACACAAGAGAGAGAGAGAGAGAGAGAGAGAGAGAGGGUCUGUGAUGGCACUGCUCGAUGCGUCCUCGAAAAUCGUCGGGGCUCGGGACGAAGACCCGAAAACAAGACAGCGAGCUGGCAACCACCACUCACCUAUUUAAAGUUUCUAAAAAUAAGAUUAAUUUAAUACAUAUCCUUUCCAAUAUAAUAAAUAAUAAAUAUAUUUUUUAAAAAUUUAAUUUUUAUAUGUUGUUUCUAUAAAAGUUCUAAUAUUUUUAAAUAUAUUUCUUUCGUUAGAAUCUGUUAGAAAAAUUUAGUUAAUCAUAGGUUAAAUACUUAGUCAUGAUUAGUUUUUGAUAUUUUUAUGCUUAUGAUAUUAUACUGUUAUGACUUUUGAAAGAAUAUAUUUGUGAUGACAAAAUUGAAAAUAUAAACAGUUCUCUAAUGGUUCUCUAAUUAUGGUAACAAAUCAGAGGAACAUAUUUGAAAAUAUUAGGACCUUUGUAGAGACAAUAUAUAAAAGUUGAAUUUUGUAGGGAUAUAUAUUUGUCAUUCACUAUGUUUAUAAGGACCUGUAUGAAAUUAAUCCUUAAAAAUAAGAGCGUUAAUUGGUUUAAAGAAUCCGGCAUCUUACUCUAUGGCAGGACGAAAUGUCAGAAUGAAUCGUGUUGCAUUCAAAGUGACGUGGGGUUGAUUGGACCGAGUCACAACCAAAAUCCAUGAAUAUUGUGUCUGUAUACUUUAAGCGAAAUGAUUGUGUAUUCUUAACGACUCGAGUUUUUGGGAAUAAUGUUUAGCACUAACGAUCCGACAGAGUUCACUUAGAAUGCUUUUAGAAAUACAAAAAUUUCAGUCUUUAAAAAUUUUAUGAUUUUUUAAUAUUGUUUAUCUAGGGACCGGAAAAAAUAAAUUUUAUAAAAAAUAAUAAUAUAACAUUAAAAUUUUAGAUUAGAGUAACUAAUAUUAUUUUAAAGAGUAUACAAAAUUUUCUAUCAAAAACUUACAAAUUUGGAUGUUUAUAUACCGUUAAACUUACAAACGACUCACGUCAACUAUUAAAAUUAUUAACCUUGAACUAUUUCGGUUACUAUGUAAAAUAUAUAAAAACUUAUAAAAUUUAUUUUUUUUGAUAUUUUCAAAUUUCUAGAUCAAAUUUAAUUCGGCGGAUUGUAACUAUUAAAAGCAUCCCAACUGGACUGUAUAGCUUUUAAUUUUAGGGAUAAUUACCUAUAUACCCCUCAUGCGUUUGAAAAUAUCCCAUCUACGUACCCUUACUUCUUUUUUUUUUUUUUCUAAAAUACCCCUCAUAUGUUCCACCAUUAUUUCAAAAUACCUCCGCAGUUAUCCCCUGUUAGCUUAACUGGGGUUAAAUAUCGGUUAAAUGUAUACUAUAGUUAAAACCUAAACAAAGUACCAAUUUUGCCCUUACCUUAUUAUACUAAUAGUUAUCCUCUCUUUCUCUCCCAACUUGGUCGCCACCACCGGCGCCGGCUCCUCCUCCUCCAUCUCGCCUCAUCUCCUCCCAGACCACCACCACCUCCCACAUCUCCACCUCCAACACCACCCCUCUCGCCGCUCUCGUCGUCGUCCUCCUUCUCCUCCGCUCUCGUCGUCGUCGUUGUCCUCCUCCUCCGCCGCCUUGGCCGGCGCCGGGAGCAAGAGGGCCGCAACGACGAUCCUAUCUCGCCUGAGGCCGUUCGUGUGCCGUCCGCCCGAGGCCAUCCGCGUGUCGGGAGCAAGAGGGAGGUCCACGGUGCCGAGAGCAAGAGGGAGGCCCGAGGCCGUCCGCGUGCCGCAUGCCAUCCGUCAGCAUGCCAAGGCCCCCCGAGGCCGUCCGUGUGCGC